rnacentral:misc_RNA from 1 species
AACACGAUCAACUCUAGUUAAGAGUUGGGAAUAAUGACCUUACAUAGUGAUGUGUUUGGUUUGAAUAAAUAGGUUGAUGAGUUCCCCAACACGGCUCAAUGUGUGCUAGCGAGACAGUCGUCCCGAUCUCACAUUUCGGCUGCGUUGCAGAGUUCUAUCCAACAACCUCUUACCUAUCAA